UCUUUGUGUUCCAGACUCAUGGGGGAUUUCCUCAAAGUUUAUGAAGUUGGCCUGAAGAAAGUAGUUGCUUCGACCCCUCUUUGUGAGCCACAGGAAACUGAAAAUAGGGCAGAGUGUUUCAAGGACAUUUAUAGGAGCUGGUCUCUGAUUGGCUAGGCAACCAGAUGCAGAAUCCUGUUUUCUGAAGCUGAAUACUUCCACAGAUUUUGACUGCAAAACGUUUUUCUGCUGAGGGUACGUGAGCAGGAAACAUGGAGAAGAAUCCUUUGGCAGCCCCAUUACUAAUCCUCUGGCUUCAUCUUGACUGCGUGAGCAGCCUACUGAACGUGGAACAAAGUCCCCAGUCACUGAGUGUUCAGGAGGGAGACAGCACCAACUUCACCUGCAGCUUCCCUUCCAGCAAUUUUUAUGCCUUACACUGGUACAGAUGGGAAACUGCAAAAAUCCCCAAGGCCUUGUUUGUAAUGACUUUAAAUGGGGAUGAAAAGAAGAAAGGACGAAUAAGUGUCACUCUUAAUACCAAGGAGGGUUACAGCUAUUUGUACAUCAAAGGAUCCCAGCCUGAAGACUCAGCCACAUACCUCUGUGCCUUUGUACAGUGCUGUUCAGGCACCUGCAGCCCAUACGCAAACCUGUGUCUGGUGUUGCACUAUUACCAGCAUUGACAAAGAACCAUGAGUAGGAUGGAAAAGACAAAUCCAUUGAAUUACAGUUUUUGCUUUCAGGAGGAUUAUGCUAACAUGGAAAACUAAGCACACUAGUGAUCAUAGCUAACCACCACAAGAGCUAAUUAAGUAAACAUAUUCCUUAUGACAGACAGAUGUCAGAGUGGUAAUGAAGCAUAACACAUGACCUGGUAACUGGGCUGUUACUAAACAAUACUAACCCCAGCUCCCAAUAACACAUUAACCACAUCAUGGAGUAAGAUCCAUUGCCUGCUCUUUUGGCAUGAUUCUGAAAGAACCCAACAGUUACUCAAAUCUAUCUAAAAUGAUCUGGGUAAAUAACAGUAAUAUUUAUCCCCUCAUUGUUGCUAUGUCCUGAAAACUAAUUCUUCUAUUAUAUUUUAUCACAGCACAAAUGGAGCAUGUCGGCAUGCCCCUUCCUCACACACCUGGCAUGGAAAUAUGCAUGUUUAAUACCAGAACAGGUGAUGCUGCCUCCUUUAAUCCAUUGGGGAUUUUGGUUUUGCUUUAGUUCAACUUUCCCCCUACAUGAACAUUUGUAUUUUUAUUUCUUCUCAACUGUGGCUAUUUUCAUUUUUAAAUAUCACUCAUAAUAUUAUAAAGGAGCACUGAUGAAGGACUUUCACUAUUAACGUGUUCUAUCCCCCAGCUUGUACCACGAUUGUGAUAUUGGAAGACUAACUGAACUCUAUUAUCGAAGUCUCUUCAUUUGUAACUUCCAGGUGUAUUAAGCAGGCUGAGUG